CUCUGAAUAGCAUAGUGGUAUUGCGCCGGACUGUAACCUGUUAACUGUCUACACCUCCCUUCCAACUGGAAGUCAAAUCCAUCCGUAGGUCCCCUGUUCGAAUCAGGGUUCAGAGA